UAGGGAAUCUUCGGCAAUGGGGGGAACCCUGACCGAGCAACGCCGCGUGAGUGAAGAAGGUUUUCGGAUCGUAAAGCUCUUUUGUUAAGGAAGAACGAGUGUGAGAAUGGAAAGUUCAUGCUGUGACGGUACUUAACCAGAAAGGGACGGCUAACUACGUGCCAGCAGCCGCGGUAAUACGUAGGUCCCGAGCGUUGUCCGGAUUUAUUGGGCGUAAAGCGAGCGCAGGCGGUUAGAAAAGUCUGAAGUGAAAGGCAGUGGCUCAACCAUUGUAGGCUUUGGAAACUGUUUAACUUGAGUGCAGAAGGGGAGAGUGGAAUUCCAUGUGUAACGGUGAAAUGCGUAGAUAUAUGGAGGAACACCGGUGGCGAAAGCGGCUCUCUGGUCUGUAACUGACGCUGAGGCUCGAAAGCGUGGGGAGCGAACAGG
rnacentral:rRNA from 1 species